CUACGGGCGGCUGCAGUGGGGAAUAUUGCACAAUGGGCGCAAGCCUGAUGCAGCCAUGCCGCGUGUAUGAAGAAGGCCUUCGGGUUGUAAAGUACUUUCAGCGGGGAGGAAGGGAGUAAAGUUAAUACCUUUGCUCAUUGACGUUACCCGCAGAAGAAGCACCGGCUAACUCCGUGCCAGCAGCCGCGGUAAUAGCGGAGGGUGCAAGCGUUAAUCGGAAUUACUGGGCGUAAAGCGCACGCAGGCGGUUUGUUAAGUCAGAUGUGAAAUCCCCGGGCUCAACCUGGGAACUGCAUCUGAUACUGGCAAGCUUGAGUCUCGUAGAGGGGGGUAGAAUUCCAGGUGUAGCGGUGAAAUGCGUAGAGAUCUGGAGGAAUACCGGUGGCGAAGGCGGCCCCCUGGACGAAGACUGACGCUCAGGUGCGAAAGCGUGGGGAGCAAACAGGAUUAGAUACCCGGGUAGUC
rnacentral:rRNA from 1 species